rnacentral:rRNA from 1 species
AACGUACGCUGGCGGCACGCCUAACACAUGCAAGUCGAACGAAGUAGCAAUACUUAGUGGCAGACGGGUGAGUAACAUGUAGGUAUCUGCCCUUUGGCCUGGAAUAACACGAGGAAACUUGUGCUAAUACCGGAUAAGUCUUUACGGAGAAAGCUUUAUGCACCAUUGGAUGAGCCUGCACUUGAUUAGUUUGUUGGUGGGGUAAUGGCCUACCAAGACUGUGAUCAAUAGCUGAUUUGAGAGGAUGAUCAGCCACAUUGGGACUGAGACACGGCCCAAACUCCUACGGGAGGCAGCAGUGGGGAAUCUUGCACAAUGGAGGAAACUCUGAUGCAGCGAUGCCGCGUGAGUGAAGAAGGCCCUUGGGUUGUAAAGCUCUUUCGUCGGGGAAGAAAAUGACUGUACCCGAAUAAGAAGGUCCGGCUAACUUCGUGCCAGCAGCCGCGGUAAUACGAAGGGACCUAGCGUAGUUCGGAAUUACUGGGCUUAAAGAGUUCGUAGGUGGUUGAAAAAGUUAGUGGUGAAAUCCCAGAGCUUAACUCUGGAACUGCCAUUAAAACUUUUCAGCUAGAGUAUGAUAGAGGAAAGCAGAAUUUCUAGUGUAGAGGUGAAAUUCGUAGAUAUUAGAAAGAAUACCAAUUGCGAAGGCAGCUUUCUGGAUCAUUACUGACACUGAGGAACGAAAGCAUGGGUAGCGAAGAGGAUUAGAUACCCUCGUAGUCCAUGCCGUAAACGAUGUGUGUUAGACGUUGGAAAUUUAUUUUCAGUGUCGCAGGGAAACCGAUAAACACACCGCCUGGGGAGUACGACCGCAAGGUUAAAACUCAAAUGAAUUGACGGGGACCCGCACAAGUAGUGGAGCAUGUGGUUUAAUUCGAAGAUACGCGCAGAACCUUACCAACACUUGACAUGUUCGUCGCGACUCUAAGAGAUUAGAGUUUUCGGUUCGGCCGGACGAAACACAGGUGCUGCAUGGCUGUCGUCAGCUCGUGUCGUGAGAUGUUGGGUUAAGUCCCGCAACGAGCGCAACCCUCACUUUUAGUUGCCAUCAUUAAGUUGGGCACUCUGAAAGAACUGCCAGUGAUAAGCUGGAGGAAGGUGGGGAUGACGUCAAGUCCUCAUGGCCCUUACGUGUUGGGCUACACACGUGCUACAAUGGUAUUUACAACAGGAAGCAAAACUGCGAAGUUAAGCAAAUCCCUAAAAGAUACCUCAGUUCGGAUUGCACUCUGCAACUCGAGUGCAUGAAGCUGGAAUUACUAGUAAUCGUGGAUCAGCGUGCCACGGUGAAUGCGUUCCCGGGUCU